rnacentral:rRNA from 1 species
UGGGGAAUAUUGCACAAUGGGGGAAACCCUGAUGCAGCGACGCCGCGUGAGCGAAGAAGGUUUUCGAAUCGUAAAGCUCUGUCCUAUGGGAAGAUAAUGACGGUACCAUAGGAGAAAGCUCCGGCUAAAUACGUGCCAGCAGCCGCGGUAAUACGUAUGGAGCGAGCGUUGUCCGGAAUUAUUGGGCGUAAAGGGUGCGCAGGCGGCUUUACAAGUUGGAUGUGAAAUAUUGUGGCUCAACCACAAACGUGCAUCCAAAACUGCAAAGCUUGAGUUAAGGAGAGGUAAGUGGAAUUCCUGGUGUAGCGGUGGAAUGCGUAGAUAUCAGGAGGAAUACCGGUGGCGAAGGCGACUUACUGGACUUAAACUGACGCUCAGGCACGAAAGCGUGGGGAGCAAACAGG